AUCACAAAUUUCUACAGAAGAGUUGACAAAAAAGGAUAGCCCUGGUAAGAUGGGAAGGCCAUUUUUCCUUUUCAGGCCUAGAAAUGGAAGAAAAGUUUCCAUAGAUGAACACUAGCAUAUCCUUAAAGAAUUGAUUGAA